CAGCCUAAGGAAGCUUAGGUGAGUCCUAGAGAAUUUCCUGAUUUUUUUCCUUCUAUAAAAUGAUGAUUGAAUAUGGAAAGGGUCUUCAAAGCUUUUUAAAGCAACCAGGUUCUUUUUAUAGAUAACAAGAUGCUGGACUCUCAGCAACUCCUGCACCAAGCCUAUCAUGCUCCCAUUGUGAUGAUAAUGGACUGAACCUCUGCACCUCUUCAGCCCAAACAUCCCCUUUCUGAAAAGAAAAGAAAAAAACAGCUCAUCAAUACAGUCAUGGAAAUGACUCAUUGCCCCUGCUGGGAGAAAGCAAGCACACAGAGCUGGUGAUUCCUCCUGGCUGGCCAGCCACCUCAUCUACACAGGAUGGAGGUCAAAAGACAGCUGUCAGGAGAACCUCCCCACUCCCCUUGGCUAUCCCCCUUUUCCCUAAACUACUUCAAGCGAGAGGGGCAGGCUGGGGUUCCUAAUCACUCUAAUCCAGCAUCUCUCACAUCUCCUGGUUGCCUGUGCCAGGUGCUAUGAUCAACUCUUAAGGGGAAUGACAUCGUUUGCUAAUGACAGCAGUUGUUUCUGACCCAGCUUACAGAGGAGCAGCCACAGAGAGCUGUGACACUUUCUAAGGCCACACAGUUCCUGGAAAUCUGCUUAGUUUACAGUCUACUGAAAGCACAGAGGAACCUGAAUCUCCCAGUCCUCUUGGAAGAGCCACCAGUUCACCCAAGCUAGGCUCUCACACUGGUGCCGAGGUCAAGAGGCUCUGGUACCUGCUGAGGCCCACACCAGAAGCACCCUACUCAACCUGGCAUAGUGUACAUAGCAUAUGCCCCAAAUGUGAGCACAGUGGAGACUUUGGUUGCUUUGGGCUACAGAGUGUCCAGCAAGCAGGGUAGCAGCCCCACUGCUCUCUCUUCCAAAUGUACACUCCGUAGACCCUGGGCCUAAGCUUCUGAAUGUGGGUGGUAGAGUUCCAUGGGCAAGGUCAGACUGCCUAUCUCUCAUCCCAACAAUGUCUUCACAACCUAGAACAGGCCCCUAAGCGCUCCUAACUUCAAGAUCCUCAUAGGGAUAACAAUGUAACAAUAAGUGGAAAGAAAUUAUCUCAGUAUAUGGAAUAUAAGCUGCUCAAUGAGUCUUUGCUAUUGUUAUUGUUAUUAUUGUUGUUAUUGUUGUUGUUGUUGUUGCUGUUAUGCUGUGAGUUCCUGGCCAGCUUGGGAUACCUAGUGAGACCCUGUCUCAGACUUCUCUAAGGGUUAAGAUUAAAGCCAACAAACAGAAGAAA